rnacentral:lncRNA from 1 species
AAAAAUUCAAAGGAAUUGCUUUAGAGUUGAAGAAAAGGAUGAUGAAGAUGAGGAUGGUGAACUGGAUGAAACUAUGGCUAGGCUUACCAAUCAGUUUAAGGCUAGGCUUACCAAACAGUUUAAGAGAAUCUUGAAACCCAACAUCAAAAAUAAAGAAGUCCUCAAAUUCACCUUUGACCGAAAAGAAAUUCUCUCACACAUAAGAAAUUGUCCAACUACACAAAGAAACCUUGUGUACAUUGUCACGCCUGCGAGGGAUACAGAUAGACUGCCUUGAGAAUGGGCAAACAAUCGAAAGAAAAUCUUUAAAAAUAAAGCAAUGAAUGUCAUAUGUAGUGAUGAGGACAAGGAAAGACUCAACAGGAGGAUGGGGUUGGAAAUAAACAGGAAGGGAGUUGGGGGCGGGAGUGGGUUUGACUUUU